rnacentral:snoRNA from 1 species
CUUCCGGAAUCCUCUUUCUCAUAUAGAUCAAAGGAAGUGUCCUUUUAAAACGAGAACUCACUGGGUGUUUGCUUGAAUCCUGGCAGAGAAAAGAAUA